rnacentral:precursor_RNA from 8 species
GUUCCGAUGAGCUCUCUACGUCACUGGUGCCGUAUCAGCCAAUGCAUUCUACAUGUCCUAGCUGCUUCUACACUGCGUCGAUCUUCUGUAAAUGCAUUAUCUGGUAUGUAACUCAGUGACGCCUCGCCUCACCACGAUCC